UUUUGUGGGAUGUUUAUUAAAAAUACUUCUGUAUGAUGAAUCCCCAUGUGCGGAGGGGGCUAAAUGAUCGAGUUUUAGGACUCGUGACGAGUUCAGUUUAUUCAUUACUGAACUCAGCAUGGGCAUCAUGCGUACAUCACUAACGUUCUUCUAUCUCAUCAUUUUCCCUGUGA
rnacentral:sRNA from 1 species